rnacentral:lncRNA from 1 species
AUGAAACUUUUGAUUCUUUUUACGUUUUUUGGCCACAAGGCACCUACGCGUCGCAGGAUCCGCUGCGGCUCGGUCACCCCUCCCUUCUUCUUCGUCACAGGCCCGUCCCUCGUCCUCCGGGGUCCAGCGCGACCCCAGCUCCCUGUACCUCCCCGUCAGGCGUCCUCCCGGGGUCAGGCGCGACCCCAGCCCCAUGUACCUCCCCGUCCCGCAUCCUCCCGGGGUCAGGCGCGACCCCAGCCCCAUGUACCUCCCCGUCCCGCAUCCUCCCGGGGUCAGGCGCGACCCCAGCUCCCUGUACCUCCCCGUCAGGCGUUCUCCCGGGGUCAGGCGCGACCCCAGCCCCAUGUACCUCCCCGUCCCGCAUCCUCCCGGGGUCAGGCGCGACCCCAGCUCCCUGUACCUCCCCGUCAGGCGUCCUCCCGGGGUCAGGCGCGACCCCAGCCCCAUGUACCUCCCCGUCCCGCAUCCUCCCGGGGUCAGGCGCGACCCCAGCUCCCUGUACCUCCCCGUCAGGCGUUCUCCCGGGGUCAGGCGCGACCCCAGCCCCAUGUACCCCUCCCCGUCCCGCAUCCUCCCGGGGUCAGGCGCGACCCCAGCCCCAUGUACCUCCCCGUCCCGCAUCCUCCCGGGGUCAGGCGCGACCCCAGCUCCCUGUACCUCCCCGUCAGGCGUCCUCCCGGGGUCCGGCGCGACCCCGGCCCACGGAACCUCCCCGUCGGGCGUCCUGCCGGGGUCCGGCGCAACCCCAGCUCCCUGUACCUCCCCGUCAGGCGUCCUCCCGGGGUCAGGCGCGACCCCAGCCCCAUGUACCCCUCCCCGUCCCGCAUCCUCCCGGGGUCAGGCGCGACCCCAGCUCCCUGUACCUCCCCGUCAGGCGUCCUCCCGGGGUCAGGCGCGACCCCGGCCCACGGAACCUCCCCGUCAAGCGUCCUGCCGGGGUCUUGGCGCCGCGUUAGAAACCCAUUCUUUCGUAGCUCUCAUUGUGGCGUUCGUGUGCAGCCUUGUUCAUUGUGGCCAUUUGCUAAAUUUUCGUGCCCAGAGCGAGUCGCUGCGUGUGAAGAGCCAGUGGCAUCGAUGUUUCCACAGCGAGUCACUGAUCAGCGCGCUGCUGUUGGCAGGUUUAGUUGA